GAUGAACGCUGGCGGCGUGCUUAAUACAUGCAAGUCGAACGCUGAAGGCGGAGUUUGCUCUUCUGGAUGAGUUGCGAACGGGUGAGUAACGCGUAGGUAACCUGCCUGGUAGUGGGGGAUAACUAUUGGAAACGAUAGCUAAUACCGCAUGACAACACCUAUUGCAUGAUAACUGUUUAAAAGGGGCAACUGCUCCACUACCAGAUGGACCUGCGUUGCAUUAGCUAGUUGGUGAGGUAACGGCUCACUUAGGCGACGAUGCAUAGCCGACCUGAGAGGGUGAUCAGCCAGACUGGGACGGAGACACGGCCCAGUGGCCUACGGGUGGGAGCAGUAGGGAAACGUCGGCAAUGGGCGGAAGUCAGACCAAGCUACGCGGCGGGAGUGAAGAAGGUUGUCGGGUCGGAGAUGUCUGUUGUAGGAUAGGAACGAGCGUGAGAGUGUAAAGUUCACACUGUGACGGUAUCUGACCAGAAAGCAACGGCUAACUACGUG
rnacentral:rRNA from 1 species